rnacentral:rRNA from 1 species
UACAGAGGAGCCAAGCGUUGUCCGGAUUGACUGGGCGUAAAGCGCACGCAGGCGGAUGCGCGCGUGGGGUGUGAAAUCUGGCCGCUUAACGGCCAGGCGCCAUCCUAUACGGCGCGUCUGGAGUGAUGCAGAGGUCGAUGGAAUUGCCGGUGUAGUGGUGAAAUGCGUAGAGAUCGGCAGGAACACCCAGGGGGAAACCAGUCGACUGGGCAUCUACUGACGCUGAGGUGCGAGAGCGUGGGGAGCGAACCGG